UUCUGACACUAGGUCUACAAUGACCAGUCCUGUGCCAGUAAAGAGAGAGGCAAGAGGGGUCAGGCCAGUGUUUCAAUUUUUCUUGUCAACUAAACUUGGUUUUCUUCUGUGGAUCUGCAACAUAAAAGAAGAAAAAACAGCCCCUUCAUGUACAGCACUGUGCUCCAUGUGGACAAGGCCCUUACAGACUACUGAAUGCUGAGAGAGACUCAGCCAGCUGCAGCCUCCCAGCCACUCCAGGUGCGCUCGGGAUGCGAGUGAAGCCAUCGUGGCCCUUCCAGCCCCACCCCAGGCUCUCAAGCCACAGGAAGGUCCGUGUGGAGAACCGCCUGCUGAGCCCAGCCAACCCACGGGAUCCUCAGAAACCAUGAUUUCUUAAGCCACCUUGUGGGGCAGUUUGUUACAAGAAAUAGACAGCUGAUCUGCAGCCUUUCUCUGGCAGCAGCUUCCAGCUCCUGAAGACGGAGGAAGCCCACCCCGGGCUCUCCACUGGUGAGCGAGUAAGACUGCAUCAUGUGCCGCCUCGUCGGUGCUGCCCCCACGCACAGCGCGCCUCCGGGCCCCUCGCC